CCUACGGGAGGCAGCAGUGAGGAAUAUUGGUCAAUGGGCGCGAGCCUGAACCAGCCAAGUAGCGUGAAGGAUGACUGCCCUACGGGUUGUAAACUUCUUUUAUAAAGGAAUAAAGUGAGACACGUGUGCAUUUUUGAAUGUACUUUAUGAAUAAGGAACGGCUAACUCCGUGCCAGCAGCCGCGGUAAUACGGAGGAUCCGAGCGUUAUCAGGAUUUAGUAGGUGUAAAGGGAGUGUUGACGGGUGGUUAAGGCAGUUGUGAAAGUGUGGGGCUCAACCGUAAAAUUGCAAUUGAUACUGGCAGCCUUGAGUACAGGUGAGGUAGGCGGAAUUCGUGGUGUAGCGGUGAAAUGCUUAGAUAUCACGAAGAACUCCGAUUGCGAAGGCAGCCUACUAAACUGCCACUGACAUUGAUGCUCGAAAGUGUGGGUAUCAAACAGGAUUAGAUACCCUGGUAGUC
rnacentral:rRNA from 1 species